rnacentral:hammerhead_ribozyme from 1 species
UUGCGAAACCGCCACGGCGGUCGUCGGAGCGUGGCGGCUCCGGCCUGAUGAGCAGCCAGGA